UACGUAGGGUGCGAGCGUUAAUCGGAAUUACUGGGCGUAAAGGGUGCGCAGGCGGAUAGGUAAGUUAGAUGUGAAAGCCCCGAGCUUAACUUGGGAAUUGCAUUUAAUACUACUUAUCUAGAGUUUGUCAGAGGGGGGUGGAAUUCCACGUGUAGCAGUGAAAUGCGUAGAUAUGUGGAGGAACACCGAAGGCGAAGGCAGCCCCCUGGGAUAAAACUGACGCUCAGGCACGAAAGCGUGGGUAGCAAACAGG
rnacentral:rRNA from 1 species